rnacentral:rRNA from 1 species
UUAUCCGGAUUUACUGGGUGUAAAGGGAGCGUAGACGGAUGGACAAGUCUGAUGUGAAAGGCUGGGGCUCAACCCCGGGACUGCAUUGGAAACUGCCCGUCUUGAGUGCCGGAGAGGUAAGCGGAAUUCCUAGUGUAGCGGUGAAAUGCGUAGAUAUUAGGAGGAACACCAGUGGCGAAGGCGGCUUACUGGACGGUAACUGACGUUGAGGCUCGAAAGCGUGGGGAGCCAACAGGAUUAGAUACCCUGGUAGUCCACGCGGUAAACGAUGAAUGCUAGGUGUCGGGUGACCAAGUCAUUCGGUGCCGCCG